rnacentral:rRNA from 1 species
UGGGGAAUAUUGGGCAAUGGGCGCAAGCCUGACCCAGCCACGCCGCGUGAGUGAUGAAGGUUUUCGGAUCGUAAAGCUCUGUGGGGAGGGACGAAUCAGUUGCUGGCUAAUAUCCAGCGACCUUGACGGUACCUCCUUAGCAAGCACCGGCUAACUCCGUGCCAGCAGCCGCGGUAAUACGGAGGGUGCAAACGUUGCUCGGAAUCAUUGGGCGUAAAGCGCACGUAGGCGGUCCGGCAUGUCGGGUGUGAAAUCCCUCGGCUUAACCGAGGAAGUGCAUUCGAAACUAUCGGACUGGAAUACUGAAGAGGGUCUCGGAAUUCCCGGUGUAGAGGUGAAAUUCGUAGAUAUCGGGAGGAACACCAGUGGCGAAGGCGGAGACCUGGGCAGAUAUUGACGCUGAGGUGCGAAAGCGUGGGGAGCAAACAGG